UCAAGUUACUAAGAGUGUAUGGGGAAUGUCUUGGUGCCGAGAGGCGAUGAAGGACGUGGCUGACUGCGAUAAGUCCGGGGCAGGUGUCGAGCAACCGUUAAUCCCGGAAUCUCCGAAUGGGGAAACCCGACAUGACUGGGCAACCAGUUCUUGUCAUCACCGGCUGAAUGUAUAGGCCGGCUGAAGCGAACGCAGGGAACUGAAACAUCUAAGUACCUGUAGGAAAAGAAAUCAACCGAGACUCCGUCAGUAGCGGCGAGCGAAGACGGAUAUAGCCCAAACCAGGAAGCUUGCUUCUUGGGGUUGCGGGCGCUGAUUAGGAGUUACAAAGGUAACGUAAGCAGAAUCUUCUGGAAAGUUGAGCCAUAGCAGGUGAUAGCCCUGUAUGCGACUACGUGCACCCUCCGUUACAUCAGCGUUCCAGAGUAGCACGGAGCUCGUGGAACUCCGUGCGAAUCAGGGGGGCCCACCCUCCAAGGCUAAAUACUACUCGGCAACCGAUAGUGAAUCAGUAGGGCGAUUGAACGAUGAAAAGUACCCCUAUUAGGGUAGUUAAAAGAACCUGAAACCAUACACUUACAAGCUGUGGAAGUCCUAUGACCCGUCUUCGGGCGGGUAAUGGAUGACCGCGUGCCUUUUGCUUAAUGAACCGGCGAGUUACCGUUUGUGGCAAGGUUAAUCCCCUAAGGGGAGUAGCCGCAGCGAAAGCGAGUCUGAAUAGGGCGAUAUAGUCGCAGGCGGUACGACGCGAAACCACGUGAUCUACUCAUGGCCAGGAUGAAUCAGCCGUAAAAGGCUGAGGAGGUCCGAACUCAUUAACGUUGAAAAGUUAUGGGAUGAGCUGUGAGGAGGAGUAAAAGUCUAAUCAAACGUGGAGAUAUCUCGUACUCUCCGAAAUAGCUUUUGGGCUAGCCUUGAGGAAUUGCUUUACGGGGGUAGAGCUACUGAAUGGGGUUAGGGGCCUACCCGGUCACCUGCCCCAACCAAACUCCGAAUACCGUAAAGUGUACCUCGGGAGUCAGUCUACGGGAGAUAAGUUCCGUGGUCGAAAGGGAAACAACCCAGCCCGCCAGCUAAGGUCCCAGAAUCCUGCUAAGUUAUUAAGGAAGUUGGAUUGCGGAGACAGCCAGGAUGUUGGCUUAGAAGCAGCCACCAUUUAAAAAGUGCGUAAUAGCUUACUGGCCGAGCAGUCCGGCGCCGAUAAUGAUCGGGAAUAAGCAGGAUACCGAAGCUGCGGAUUACCAGACGGGUUCGCCUGUCUGGCAGUGGUAGGAGAGCGUUGCUGUCAGCAUAGAAGCCGCACGGAGACGAGCGGUGGAGCGGCAGCAAGUGAUUAUGCCGGUAUGAGUAACGAUAAAACAGGUGAGAAUCCUGUUCGCCGAAAGCCUAAGGUUUCCUGGGGAAGGUAAAUCCGCCCAGGGUUAGUCGGUCCCUUAGUUGAGGCCGAAAGGCGUAAACGAUGGACAGCAGGUUAAUAUUCCUGCACUAUGUACCAAAGGUUAUAACUGUGGGGGCGACGCGGAAGCAACGGUUGGAAGCCGACUAGUAGUGGCUAUUGUGCCCGUGUUGUUGUCGGUUGGUAAAUCCGCCGACACAAAACAAUACGGGACCGCGAGGGCCGAUUUAAGAUGCCUGAGCAACCCGAAAUUCCGCCAAGAAAAACCUCAAACAGGACAAUGGUGCAUAACCGUACUAAAACUGACACAGGUAGGCAAGGAGAAUAUCCUAAGGCGCUCGAGAGAACCGUCCUUAAGGAACUAGGCAAUUUGACCCCGUAAGUUCGCAAUAAGGGGUCCCUACAGGGGCAUUUAAGCAAUUAGGUGCCUGCUGAGGGCGCAGUGAAGUGGCUCUGGCGACUGUUUAUCAAAAACACAGUUCUCUGCUAACUCCAAAAGAGGAUGUAUAGAGAAUGACGCCUGCUCGGUGCUGGAAGGUCAAGGAAGUCGGUCAUUGGGUAGCAAUACCUGAAAAGCUGGCGACCGAAGCCCCAGUAAACGGCGGCCGUAACUAUGACGGUCCUAAGGUAGCGAAGUUCCUUGUCGGGUAAGUUCCGACGUGCAUGAAUGGCGUAACGACUGGAGUAGUGUCUCAAGGACGGACUCGGUGAAAUUGUAGAUGCGGUGAAGAUACCGCAUUCCCGCGGCAAGACGGAAAGACCCUAUGAACCUUUACUGUAGCCUGGUAUUGAUGCCUGACAUAACUUGCGUAGGAUAGGUGGGAGGCGAUGAUGUCCCGAUUUCGGUCGGGGCGGAGCCACCGUUGAAAUACCACCCUUGUUCUGUUAGUCACCUAACUGUGACCCGUGAAACCGGGCAUGGUACAGUGCCAGGUGGGCAGUUUGACUGGGGCGGUCUCCUCCUAAAGAGUAACGGAGGAGUUCAAAGGCAUACUCAGCGCGGUUGGCAAUCGCGCUUAGAGCGCAAGGGCAAAAGUAUGCUUAACUGCAAGACUUAUAGGUCGAGCAGGUGCGAAAGCAGGACCUAGUGAUCCGGCGAUUCUGUGUGGAAGGGUCGUCGCUCAACAGAUAAAAGGUACUCUAGGGAUAACAGGCUGAUCUCCCCCGAGCGUUCAUAGCGGCGGGGAGGUUUGGCACCUCGAUGUCGGCCCAUCGCAUCCUGGGGCUGAAGGCGGUCCCAAGGGUUGGGCUGUUCGCCCAUUAAAGCGGUACGCGAGCUGGGUUCAGACCGGCGUGAGCCAGGUCGGUCCCUAUCUGCCGUGGGCGCAGGAAUCUUGAUGGAAAUAUUUCCUUAGUACGAGAGGAUUAGGAAGUACUGACCGCUGGUGUACCGGCUGUCCUGCUAAGGGCACCGCCGGGUAGCUAUGUCGGGAAAGGAUAACCGCUGAAAGCAUCUAAGCGGGAAGCCCCCUCCAAGAUGAGGAUUCCAGUGACUUCGGUCACAAAGAGCCCUGGUAGACCACCAGGUUGAUAGGCCGGAUGUGUAAGGCGAGAGAUCGCUUCAGCUAACCGGUACUAACGCUCAAUACUUGACCAU
rnacentral:rRNA from 1 species